GCUGGGGACGCGGGCCAGGAGUUGCGGACUCCGAGGCUCGGGCCUCGCUGGCGGGUGGGAGGAGCGGCGCCGGGGCGAGGCUGGCGGAGAUCCAGGGGGUCGCCCGGCUGUACCCUGCGCACCUCGGAUCACCAGCUAAGGGCGCUGGUUCCCACCGAGGCUGUUCAGGCGCCGCUCGCCCGCGUCCCUGCGACAGGAGGCGCCUGCUGGGCGCGCUCCGGGCCGCGCCUCGCGGAGACGCCUGGCUCGGGCCUUGUCCCCAGUGGGCGGCUGGAGCGGGCGCGGGGUCGCAGAGCCUCCGGAACCCCGAGGAAGGGCGCCCCUGAGAGUUGCCCGAGGCCGUCCCCUCGCCGCUCGCCUCGCCCCUCCCCGGCCCCGCACCGCCCUCCACCCCGCCUCCCUCGGGUUCCUUCUGCGUCCGGCAGAGCCUGCGCGCCUCCCCCGGACGGCCACGGACUCGCAGCCUCGGUGAGGACGCUGCCUGCGUCCCGGCUGCCUGGACCUCCCCGCGUGGCUCCCGGCGAAGCCCAGCAGCCGGAGGGUGCUGGGUCCGCCUGACGCGCCCCUCCCCACGGGAAGAACGGGGCGGGGGUCCAGGAGGGACGUGAGCCGGGCUCCCCCGGCGUGUUGAUGCGAACCCGCGCGAGGAAACUUGCGCAAACCAAAGGAGGGAAGAGUCAGGCAGCCCCCCAGCCCUCCAGCUCCACAGCCAGACUCCCUUGCUGCAGACGUACCUGGGUGGAGCAUCCCUUGCCUCACCAUCGAUCCCAAGAAAGCUGAAGCUCCAUGUGAAAAUUUCCGGAAGAAAUGUUCUGGACUGAUCACCCUGGCGUUCGCUUCUUUCCUUGGAGUCCCAGCCAAUUCCAUCUCGGGCCUGUUUGGGGAAGUCUUUUGAGGUGACUCCCUUGCUGCCACUUUUGGGGCAACUCUGGCUUCCUCAUAUUUGGCCAGAUAGAACAGUUCCAAUUUUUUCCAGGGAAAAAAUCUCAACUACAAAGACACUUUCAAGGUGCUGCAUUUCCAACAGCACUCUCCGUAUCCGUGUGGACGGCCCAGAGCAAUGGUGCCUCCAAUCCACAGAGCCCCUCCACAGGUCCCUUGCCAUCUGCAGACACCCACAUCUCAAGCCAAAUCAAGAGAGACUGGAGGCUUGUGCCACAAUUGGGCAUCUCUGAGGGUGAGAUCUUGGCAGACGCUUCCUACCCUUCAAGUGUCCUGUGGGCAGCCCGCCUGGCUAGCUGGGUGUGGGAGGUUCCCCCGGUUCAGGCCCUGCAUGCUGCACCUCCCCAGGCUCACUCCAGGCCUCUGGACUGUUUUCCUCAAGCAGGAUUCCCAGCCUCCAAACCUGAGCUAAUCUCCCUGCUGGAACGAGGGGAGGCGCCCUGGAUCCUCACCCAGCCAGAAACGGGGGAGAGUGCUUCCAAGGGACCCUAGCAGAGGUGGGUGAGUGUGAACAGGGUGGCCACAGCCCCACUGCCAUAGGCCAGGCCACAACUUGGAGUGGGCCUGGGAGCUCAGAAGGUUCAGAGAACUAGGAGCCAGGAGUCUCCAAGAGCCACAGCGCCCACCUCACGGAGGGCCGGGGCAGACAGCUGGCCCCACCUGGGCACCAUGCCAUACAGAGACCCACGAGUGCCAGAGCAGCCAUGGGACUGGGGUUUUGGGAACAGCGGUGGUGGCUGCUGUGCACACACAGAGGAGGACUGGCACGGAGGCCCUGGAGAUGGAGGCUCUGCUGUGCGUUGGGGAUGGCCAUGCAGACAUCACACCAGGGAUGUCCGGGAGAGGGAGCCUCAGGAAGCAGUGCCACACGGGCUGGUUAUGAGUCAACAGUGACGGUUCUGGCUUGAGGACCCGGUGACAUGGGCUGGCAGAGGGUAUCUACUGCCGUGACCUUGGAGGGUCUUCUCUGUGCCUGCUGUGCAGGGCACCAGGGGUCCUGAGGGGAGACGGUCGGUCAGGGAGGAGCAGCCUGAAUGCCAGCGAUUGGCUUUGCCCUGGUGCAGGGACUGUGGUCAUUCCAGGUGAGGGUGAGGAGAGGUGAGGCCAGGCGAGGCUGGGUUUCCAGGCCCUUCCGCAGCACACGGCCGUUUGAAGUGCAUCUCAGGAGGCAAGGGAUCCUUCCCUGGGUUCAAGCAGGAGAAACCUGGGGUUCGAUUCGCAGCUGCUAGGACCUCCAUGUUGUCAUGUUGGUCAUUCGGGGCCUGUUGUUGAACGGGUUCAGCUGCAUUGCUGGUGGGGGCUGCACCAUGGAGGAGAGGGGGAGCUGUCAGUCAACCACCAUUGUAGACUCUGGGGCGCCCGACGGGCGACAGAGAUGGUGUGGUGAGAGGUUGGUGGGACUGCUGAGGUGCCCAGGACCAGAGGGGCUCAGCACAGAGGGGUCCAGGCCGGGUCUGUCCCCCCGGGACAGAGAUGCAGUUUGGGUCUAGGUGGGGGUCUGUCCAUCAGCCUUGAGCUUGUCUUGGGGAUGGCUGAGAUUUGACUGUUGUUUCUUUGCAGUCUUGGGAUUUGGGAGUAGAUUUUGAAUUUGAGCAGGUCUAGAGACAAGAAGUUUUCAAGAGUUUCAGAAAAAGGAGUCAGCCAGGCAUGGUGGCUCGUGCGUAUAAUCCCAGCACUUUGGGAGGCCAAAGAGGGCAAAUGGCUUGAGCUCACGAGUUCUAGAUCAGACAGGGCAGCAUGGCAAGACCCUGUCUCUACAAAAAAUACAAAAAUUAGCCAGGCGUGAUGGCGGGCGCCUGUAGUCCCAGCUACUCAGGAGGCCGAGGCAGGAGAAUCACUUGAACCUGGGAAGCGGAGGUUGCAGUGAGCCAAGAUCACGACACUGCACUCCAGCCUGGGUGAUGGAACCAGACCUUGCCUCAAAAAAAAAAAAAAAAGAAAGAAAGAAAGAAAGAAAGAAAAGAAAGAAAAGAAAGAAAAGAAAGAAAAGAAAGAAAACAAAG